CCGGCCGAGGAGCAGUAAGCGGCCGACCAGAGGCUGAAGUUGGAGGCGUAGAAGGGAGCCAGCCCGGCUGCGAACAUCCUGCCGGGGCCAGGUGGUCUCAGAAGAGGCAACUGGUUGCCAGGAAGCACAGUCUAUGAGACCCAGAAGUAACUCUGGAGAUCCUCCAAUUACCUCUCACUUUACAGUGAAGGAAACUGAGGCCCAGAUGGAGUCAGUAGGUUACUUGAGAUCUCACAGUUGCAGAAGUGGACUAGAAGCCAGAUGGAGUUUUGCUCUUGUUGCCCAGGCUGGAAUGUAAAUAGUGUGAUCUCGACAUACUGCAACCUCUGCCUCCCAGGUUCAAGCGAUUCUCCUGCCUCAGCCUCCCGAGUAGCUGGGAUUACAGGCACCUGCCACCACGCCUGGCUAACUUUUUUGUAUUUUUAGUAGAGAUGGGGUUUCACCACAUUGGCCAGGCUGGUCUGAACUUUUAACCUCAGGUGAUACACCCACCUCGGCCUCCCAAAGUGCUGGGAUUACAGGCAUGAGCCACCACACCCGGGCUUUGAUUUUUUUUUUUUUUAAUGAAUUAAUGGCCUUGGCUUUCAGAGGUAACCAACCAGCAACCACAGGCCUGAAUCUGAUGCACCGUCUUCUGCUCGUGCCAUGGUUUUUGUUUUUGUUUUUUUUUAAUUGAGUCAUCUUUACUUAAAAAUGCUAAUUUCCAGCUUCACUUGUAAGAUCAGAAUAUCUGAAAACACUUUACACUUAUUCCAAAAUGACUCCAACUGGUUGGAGCUAAGUAGAACUUAGAGCCUAUGAUGAUUAAUUUUAUGUGUUGAUUUGACUGGGCUAAGGGGUGCCCAGAUAGCUGGGAAAACAAUAUCUCUGGGUGUGUCUGUGAGGGCGUUUCUGGAACAGGUGUGAAUCAGUAGACUGAGUAAAGAAGAUCCACCCUCACCAAUGUGAAUAGGCAUCAUCCAGCCCAUUGAGGGCUCAAAUAAAACAAAAGGCAGAGGAAGGGUGAAUUCUGUCUUCCGGAGCUGGGACAUCUUCCCUUAGAUAUCAGAGCUCCUGGUUCUCAAGCCUUUGGACUUCGGGACUUACACCAUCAGUUCUCCUUGAUCUUAUGCCUUUGGACUCGGACUUAAUUACGUCACUGGCUUUGCUGUUUCUCCAGCUUGCAGACAGGAGGUGGUGGGUCUUCUAGGCCUCCACAAUUGCAUGAGCCAACUCCCAUAAUAAAUCUCUUUACAUAUCUACCCAAUGGGUUCCAUUUCUCUGGAGAAUGCUGACUAACACAGAUCCCCUUCGAUCAAGCACGAGCCCUGAGUUGGCCAUAGUCCUACCUGUCAUAAUGAGAGAACUCUUCUCAUUUGUGUUAUGGGUCCUGGAGGCAUUUGAUUAUUGGUCUGGUCAUUCACAGGAAACCCAUGUAGAAACAGCAAGUAUACCUAGGAAAACUAGGAGAGAAUUCCCAGAGUUCUAAGGGCUUAUAGAAGUGCAGUGUCAAUGAAUGCAGGAUUGAGCCAAGCUGGAGAGAGGGAGGCUGGCCUGCAGAAGAAGAUAUCCUUUACUGGUACCUGAAUUGGCUCCUGCCAAGUUUAUCUCUGCUGAUGAGGAAGCUUUGCCUCUAGUUUCUCUCCUGAGAAGGGAGAGUUUCAAUCAACCUUGGCUUUUCAUAAAGGACUUGGGGCUGCUGACUGAAUAGCCUGUGUGUUGGGGUUCACCCAUGGGGAUCUGCAAGGAUGCCUGAAUCUUCUGAUCCAUCCAAUCUCUCAUUUUACACUUGAAGAAACUGAGGCUGAGAAAGGGGAAGUGACUUGGCCAAGGCCACACAGCAAGGUCAAGAUCCAAGACUAAAACCAAUUGCUUCUCUGUUUUGCUUAUUACUACAGCACAGAAAUAAAGAAAUAGAGAAUGGGAGAGGAGAGGUAGGUGUGGGGAGGCGAUAUGAAAACAUGGAACAAGUGCUCUGCUUUUAGAAUAACUAGAACUUUGAGCCCAGAAGAUUUCUUUUCUUUUAAUAAAUAAAUGUUUUAUAAUCUUACUUCUGUGGCUGGUGGGAAAAAAAGUCCUUCAAGUCCCCAAGGAAUGUUAGGAAAACCUCCAUUAAAUUCUAGUCUUCAAAUCUGAGUCAUAAUAACUAUAAUAAACUCUGGGAGUGUUUCCUUAGGGUUUCUCUUUUAGGGUGGAGAGGAGGCAGCAAAAAGAAUAGGCAAGUUUUCACAAGAAAAACUUGUAAAUAGGCAAGUAUAACAAGAAAAUGUAUAAACCGGGAUGGCUUCAUAAUUAGGCAUAGCCUAAUUGUGCUUAUGUGUCUAGUCAAGAAACUCUAUCUAGAGUUCCAGGGGAAGAAGGUGUUGGGGAUGAGGGAGUAGGAUUGGUUUGAGGGUAGUAGACUAUAUAAGGCAUCAUGCUCCUUCCCAUGGAGGGGAUGUAUGAUGGUUAAUAUUAGGUGUCAACUUGAUUAGAUUGAAGGAUGCAAACUAUUGUUCCUGGGUGUGUCUGUGAGGGUGUUGCCAAAGAUAUUAACUUCUGAGUCAGUGGACUGGGAGAGGCAGACCCACCCUCAAUCUGGGCGGGCACCAUCUAAUCAGCUGCCAGCACAGCCAGAAUAAAAGCAGACAGAGGAACAUGGAAGGAGUAGACUUGCUGAGUCUUCCAGCCUUCAUCAUUCUCUCGUGCUGGAUACUUCCUGCCCUCGAACAACAGACUCCAAGUUCUUCAGCUUUUGGACUCUUGGAUUUACACCAGCAGUUUGCCGGGGGCUCUGGGGCCUUCAGAAGGCUGCACUGUCAGCUUCCCUACUUUUGAGGUUUGGGGACUCGGACUGGCUUCCCUGCUCUUUGGCUUGCAGACAGCCUAUUGUGGGACUUCACCUUGUGAUCAUGCAAGUCAAUACUACUUAAUAAGCUCCCCCUCAUUUAUACAUCUAUCCUGUUAGUUCUGUCCCUCUAGAGAAACCUGACUAAUAUAGCAUGUGUAUGUGCUUUUCCCUUUGCUUGGAAUGCUUGUCCCCACUCUGACCCUAAGCACCACCACAACCUUCCUUCCUGGAGCUCAGGCGGUUAUCCUCCAGGGCUCUGCUGAUUCCCUGGGCACCCCGCACUCUGCUUCACAGCACUCAUCACAUUUGUCACUUGUGUAAUUUGUUGCUUAUCCCAGGCUUCCGUAUUACAUGAUAAGCUCCAUUAAUGACAGUGUUGUCUGCCUUGGUUUUGUUCAUGAUGAGCACAGUGCCUGGCCCACAGUACCAGCUCACUAAGUAUUUAGCAAAGGGCUUUAUGAGGUCAUCCCUGGCUCCAGCACCUCACAAUCUUUAUGGUGACUAUUCAGAGGGCAGCUAAGCAGAAAAGAAGUUUUCAACAAGGCUGUUUCUGGCCUGUUUUCCCUCUCAGUACUACAUGGCAAGUCACGUCUCCAAACUGAGGAGUGUGCCUGAAGAGUCAGGUCUGGCAGAGAAAGGAUUUCUUGCCCUAGGUUUAAACAAGCAAUGUCAACAUAACUUCCAAAGGCAUCGGCUGCUUGGAAGAAGUGAAUCCCUUGGGUCAUUCCCUUGAUUAUUGUGAACCCAUGGCUGAGCAGGACAGAAAUGUCACACAGGUGGACUAAGAACAAAAUGAUUUCAGAUAUGGGAGCCCCAAAGUGGCAUCCCAAGGACAAGUGCUCAGAAUUGCAUGACUUGGUUUUCUGUUGAGCUAUUCUGUCUUGGAUAAUUACAGCAUGAGCUCUUGGCCAGUGGUGGGAAUUAAUUGGUUUUAAUUCUCUCGCAAAGAUUCUCUUAAGUAAAAGUAAACCAUUUGCAAACUGGAGUUCUUUGAGUUAUUGGUAACAACUUACUUUGCACAUACCUCAUA